rnacentral:rRNA from 1 species
UGGCUCAGGACGAACGCUGGCGGCGUGCCUAAUACAUGCAAGUCGAGCGGACAGAUGGGAGCUUGCUCCCUGAUGUUAGCGGCGGACGGGUGAGUAACACGUGGGUAACCUGCCUGUAAGACUGGGAUAACUCCGGGAAACCGGGGCUAAUACCGGAUGCUUGUUUGAACCGCAUGGUUCAAACAUAAAAGGUGGCUUCGGCUACCACUUACAGAUGGACCCGCGGCGCAUUAGCUAGUUGGUGAGGUAAUGGCUCACCAAGGCAACGAUGCGUAGCCGACCUGAGAGGGUGAUCGGCCACACUGGGACUGAGACACGGCCCAGACUCCUGCGGGAGGCAGCAGUAGGGAAUCUUCCGCAAUGGACGAAAGUCUGACGGAGCAACGCCGCGUGAGUGAUGAAGGUUUUCGGAUCGUAAAGCUCUGCUGUUAGGGAAGAACAAGUACCGUUCGAAUAGGGCGGUACCUUGACGGUACCUAACCAGAAAGCCACGGCUAACUACGUGCCAGCAGCCGCGGUAAUACGUAGGUGGCAAGCGUUGUCCGGAAUUAUUGGGCGUAAAGGGCUCGCAGGCGGUUUCUUAAGUCUGAUGUGAAAGCCCCCGGCUCAACCAGGGAGGGUCAUUGGAAACUGGGGAACUUGAGUGCAGAAGAGGAGAGUGGAAUUCCACGUGUAGCGGUGAAAUGCGUAGAGAUGUGGAGGAACACCAGUGGCGAAGGCGACUCUCUGGUCUGUAACUGACGCUGAGGAGCGAAAGCGUGGGGAGCGAACAGGAUUAGAUACCCUGGUAGUCCACGCCGUAAACGAUGAGUGCUAAGUGUUAGGGGGUUUCCGCCCCUUAGUGCUGCAGCUAACGCAUUAAGCACUCCGCCUGGGGAGUACGGUCGCAAGACUGAAACUCAAAGGAAUUGACGGGGGCCCGCACAAGCGGUGGAGCAAGUGGUUUAAUUCGAAGCAACGCGAAGAACCUUACCAGGUCUUGACAUCCUCUGACAAUCCUAGAGAUAGGACGUCCCCUUCGGGGGCAGAGUGACAGGUGGUGCAUGGUUGUCGUCAGCUCGUGUCGUGAGACGUUGGGUUAAGUCCCGCAACGAGCGCAACCCUUGAUCUUAGUUGCCAGCAUUCAGUUGGGCACUCUAAGGUGACUGCCGGUGACAAACCGGAGGAAGGUGGGGAUGACGUCAAAUCAUCAUGCCCCUUAUGACCUGGGCUACACACGUGCUACAAUGGACAGAACAAAGGGCAGCGAAACCGCGAGGUUAAGCCAAUCCCACAAAUCUGUUCUCAGUUCGGAUCGCAGUCUGCAACUCGACUGCGUGAAGCUGGAAUCGCUAGUAAUCGCGGAUCAGCAUGCCGCGGUGAAUACGUUCCCGGGCCUUGUACACACCGCCCGUCACACCACGAGAGUUUGUAACACCCGAAGUCGGUGAGGUAACCUUUUAGGAGCCAGCCGCCGAAGGUGGGACAGAUGAUUGGGGUGAAGUCGUAACAAGGUA